rnacentral:siRNA from 1 species
CAAGGUACCGCGACUGACUUAC